AAUGAACGCUGGCGGCGUGCCUAACACAUGCAAGUCGAAUGUGCCGCAAGGUGCAUGGCAGACGGGUGAGUAACGCGUGGGGAACCUACCUCUUUGUGGGGAAUAACGUUCCGAAAGGAAUGGUAAUACCGCAUGAGACCGAUGGCUGGGAUGCUGUCGGUGAAACCCGGGGACCGAAAGGCCUGGGGCAAGGAGAGGGUCCUGCGUCUGAUUAGCUAGUUGGCGGGGUAACGGCCCACCAAGGCGUCGAUCAGUAGCCGGCCUGAGAGGGUGAUCGGCCACACUGGAACUGAGACACGGUCCAGACUCCUACGGGAGGCAGCAGUGGGGAAUUUUGCGCAAUGGGCGAAAGCCUGACGCAGCAACGCCGCGUGGAGGAUGAAAUACUUUUGUAUGUAAACUCCUGUAAGAAGGGAAAAUAUUCCGAUUUAUCGGGAUUGAUUGUACCUUCAGAG
rnacentral:rRNA from 1 species